GACGAACGCUGGCGGCGUGCUUAACACAUGCAAGUCGAACGGUGAAGCGCCUUCCUUUUUGGUGGGUGUGGUUGAGUGGCGAACGGGUGAGUAACACGUGAGUAACCUGCCCCCUUCUUCUGGUUAACCGCAUGAAAGUGUGGAUAAUACGGGAUCUUCUGGGUCUGUCGCAUGAUGGGUCUGGGUCAGAUAUUGUUUCGGUGGGGGAUGGGCGUCCGGCCUAUCAGCUUGUUGGUGGGGUGAUGGCCUAGGAAGGCGGUGAGGGGUGGCCGGCCUGGGAGGGUAGACGGUCACACUGGGACUGAGGCACGGCCCAGACUCCUACGCGGGGCAGCAGUGGGGGGUAGUGCGCAGUGGGCGAAAGCCUGAUGCAGCGACGCCGCGUGAGGAAUGGAGGCCUUCGGGUUGUGAACGUCUUUCGCCAGUGAAGCGGGCCUGCCUCGGUUGUAGGUGGGUUGACGGUAGCUGGAUAAGAAGCGCCGGCUAACUACGUG
rnacentral:rRNA from 1 species